CCAGUUAGAGUGGAAAGAGGAAGUGAAGGGUCCAGGGAAGCAGACUAGGUGAGCUUUUAAGCCACAGAUGUGAUGUUGGCCAUUUUAAUCCAUCUUUGAGAGGAGCCCGAAUUACGCUGUGUGGAGAGGACUGAUUGCAGAGGAAAAUAACCUCAAACUAUAAGGCACUGCCAAGCCUUCUGGGCAGAGGGGAUAUAAUUCAGAAAUGGCAGGAAGAAAAUGAGUAAUUGGAAGGUGGGAGAAAUGACUUAAGAAGAAAGAUCAACUAACCAAAUAUAUCUCCCAACUAUGGUAAAGGAAUCAGAAGCAGGACUGGACUGUGGAAUUCAACUUGAUGAAUCUGGAUUAUUCUAACAUCAGUCGUGGAACAUCUGUACUAAUAGAUGCAAACAACACAACAAUAGAGGUAGAGGAAGCAGGCAGUGCAGAAUUUGGAGGUUUGCCACUGAGAAACAGGGAGGACAAGCUCAGUUCACAACUGUGAUCCAUUGGAUUUUGUGAGAGGCUGUGAAAGCGAGGGAAAGGUGAGGCAGCAACACAAGAUCUCAGUCCGGCUCUUGCUCCAGCCUGUGAAGUGGGUGUUCUGUCUGCUUUCUAUGCUUUCCACUGCUAUCCCUUAAAU